GUGGGUAGCGGUGAAAUUCCAAUCGAGCCCGGAGAUAGCUGGUUCUCCCCGAAAUAGCUUUAGGGCUAGCCUCAAGGUGAGAGAUACGGAGGUAGAGCACUGAAUGUCCUAGGGGGUAUUGCACCUACCGAAGACUAUCAAACUCCGAAUGCCGUCAUCUUAUACUUGGGAGUCAGACUGUGGGUGAUAAGAUUCAUAGUCGAAAGGGCAACAGCCCAGAUCGUCAGCUAAGGUCCCUAAAUGUAAGUUAAGUGGUAAAGGAUGUGGGAUUGCACAGACAACCAGGAUGUUGGCUUAGAAGCAGCCACUCAUUCAAAGAGUGCGUAAUAGCUCACUGGUCGAGUGAUCCUGCGCCGAAGAUUUCCGGGGCUAAAACUUACUACCGAAGCUACGGCAUCAGUAAUGAUGGGUAGGGGAGCUUCCCAUACGGGUUGAAGCAUGACCGUAAGGACAUGUGGACAGUAUGGGAGGGAGAAUGUUGGCAUGAGUAGCGAGAUGUGGGUGAGAAUCCCACAGGCCGUAAACCCAAGGUUUCCAGGGGAAGGUUCGUCCGCCCUGGGUUAGUCGGGACCUAAGCUG
rnacentral:rRNA from 1 species